GAUGAACGCUGGCGGCGUGCCUAAUACAUGCAAGUCGAGCGAACGGACGAGAAGCUUGCUUCUCUGAUGUUAGCGGCGGACGGGUGAGUAACACGUGGAUAACCUACCUAUAAGACUGGGAUAACUUCGGGAAACCGUAGCUAAUACCGGAUAAUAUUUUGAACCGCAUGGUUCAAAAGUGAAAGACGGUCUUGCUGUCACUUAUAGAUGGAUCCGCGCUGCAUUAGCUAGUUGGUAAGGUAACGGCUUACCAAGGCAACGAUGCAUAGCCGACCUGAGAGGGUGAUCGGCCACACUGGAACUGAGACACGGUCCAGACUCCUACGGGAGGCAGCAGUAGGGAAUCUGCCGCAAUGGGCGAAAGCCUGACGGAGCAACGCCGCGUGAGUGAUGAAGGUCUUCGGAUCGUAAAACUCUGUUAUUAGGGAAGAACAUAUGUGUAAGUAACUGUGCACAUCUUGACGGUACCUAAUCAGAAAGCCACGGCGAACUACGU
rnacentral:rRNA from 1 species